UACGUAGGGUGCGAGCGUUGUUCGGAGUUACUGGGCGUAAAGAGUGCGUAGGCGGUGUUCCAAGUCUGUUGUGAAAUCUCCCGGCUCAACUGGGAGGGUGCGGCGGAAACUGGGACGCUGGAGUACGGGAGAGGUAAGCGGAAUUCCUGGUGUAGCGGUGAAAUGCGCAGAUAUCAGGAGGAACACCGGUGGCGAAGGCGGUUCUCUGGGCAUGUCCUGACGCUGAGGAGCGAAAGUGUGGGGAGCGAACAGGG
rnacentral:rRNA from 1 species